GAAAGAAAGGGCAAUGAGUGUGUGGACUUGGGUCUGUCAACAACGAGCAAUAAAGAAAUCAUGUCAGAAGAGCAGUAUGCAGAAAGUUAUGUGAACUUCUAUAGCUUUGCUCGAAUUGCAUCAUCAGUUGUUGAAGAGUUAACAAAGAAAUCACCUGGUAAGACUGGUCAAGAUGCUAAAAAAACGGUGGAUGAAAUAAUCUCAGCGCAGCUGAAGGCCAUAUCUAGCAAAUCUAUCGAUUUUUGCUGGCCCAAUGUUCAGAAUAUGAAGAUUGAUGCUAGGAAAGAAGAUUGUGGGUGGUGCAUCUCUUGCAAAGUUCCGGAGUGUGAGAAGGACUGCUUGUUCAUCCAGAAUAGCACAGGACCUGCUCCAGAAAGUUUUUCUAGUGAUGCAUUGGGUGUUCAUUCCAGGAGGAACAGGGAAAGCCAUCUUGUUAAUGUCCUUUGCAGCAUAUUGAGCACUGAGGAUCGUCUUCAUGGACUUCUGUCAGGUCCUUGGUUGAAUCCACACCACUCCCAAAAUUGGCGCAAAGAUGUUACUGAAGCACAUGAUGUAGAUACACUGAGAGCUUUUUUGCUUACAUUAGAGUCGAACUUGCGGCCUCUAG
rnacentral:misc_RNA from 1 species